rnacentral:tRNA from 1 species
GCCUAGUUAGCUUAGUUGGUAGUGCGACUGCCUUGUAAGCGCUAGGCCGCGGGUUCGAUUCCCGCCCGGAGCG